UACGUAGGUGGCAAGCGUUAUCCGGAUUUAUUGGGUUUAAAGGGUGCGUAGGCGGCCUUUUAAGUCAGCGGUGAAAGUCUGUGGCUCAACCAUAGAAUUGCCGUUGAAACUGGGGGGCUUGAGUAUGUUUGAGGCAGGCGGAAUGCGUGGUGUAGCGGUGAAAUGCAUAGAUAUCACGCAGAACUCCGAUUGCGAAGGCAGCAUACCGGCGCUCAACUGACGCUGAGGCACGAAAGCGUGGGGAUCGAACAGG
rnacentral:rRNA from 1 species